rnacentral:rRNA from 1 species
GGGGAAUAUUGGGCAAUGGACGCAAGUCUGACCCAGCAACGCCGCGUGAAGGAAGAAGGCUUUCGGGUUGUAAACUUCUUUUAAGGGGGAAGAGUAGAAGACGGUACCCCUUGAAUAAGCCACGGCUAACUACGUGCCAGCAGCCGCGGUAAUACGUAGGUGGCAAGCGUUGUCCGGAUUUACUGGGCGUAAAGGGUGCGUAGGCGGAUAUUUAAGUCAGAUGUGAAAACCCCGGGCUUAACUUGGGGACUGCAUUUGAAACUGGAUAUCUAGAGUGCAGGAGAGGAAAGCGGAAUUCCUAGUGUAGCGGUGAAAUGCGUAGAGAUUAGGAAGAACACCAGUGGCGAAGGCGGCUUUCUGGACUGUAACUGACGCUGAGGCACGAAAGCGUGGGUAGCAAACA